GAUGAACGCUGGCGGCGUGCUUAACACAUGCAAGUCGAACGAAGCCAAGAGAGCUUGCUCUCAAAGCUUAGUGGCGGACGGGUGAGUAACGUGUGGGCAACCUACCUUAUACUGGGGGAUAAUCACUGGAAACGGUGACUAAUACCGCAUAAUGUCCUUUCAAGACAUCUUGAGAGGAAGAAAGGAGCAAUCCGGUAAAAGAUGGGCCCGCAUCUGAUUAGUUAGUUGGUGAGAUAAUAGCCCACCAAGGCAUCGAUCAGUAGCCGACCUGAGAGGGUGAACGGCCACAUUGGGACUGAGACACGGCCCAAACUCCUACGGGAGGCAGCAGUGGGGAAUAUUGCACAAUGGAGGAAACUCUGAUGCAGCAACGCCGCGUGAAGGAAGAAGGUUUUCGGAUCGUAAACUUCUAUCAAAAGGGACGAAAAAGAUGACGGUACCUUAAUAAGAAGCCCCGGCUAACUACGUG
rnacentral:rRNA from 1 species